rnacentral:rRNA from 1 species
UACGUAGGGGGCAAGCGUUGUUCGGAUUCAUUGGGCGUAAAGGGUGCGUAGGCGGCGCGGUAAGUCGGGUGUGAAAUCUCGGGGCUUAACUCCGAAACUGCAUUCGAUACUGCCGUGCUUGAGGACUGGAGAGGAGACUGGAAUUUACGGUGUAGCGGUGAAAUGCGUAGAUAUCGUAAGGAAGACCAGUGGCGAAGGCGGGUCUCUGGACAGUUCCUGACGCUGAGGCACGAAGGCCAGGGGGAGCAAACGGGG